rnacentral:rRNA from 1 species
UACGGGGGGGCAAGCGUUGUUCGGAAUUACUGGGCGUAAAGGGCUCGUAGGCGGCCAACUAAGUCGGAUGUGAAAUCCCCAGGCUUAACCUGGGAACUGCCUUCGAUACUGCGGGUCUCGAGUCCGGGAGAGGUGAGUGGAAUUCCUAGUGUAGAGGUGAAAUUCGUAGAUAUUAGGAAGAACACCAGUGGCGAAGGCGGCUCACUGGCCUGUUCUUGACGCUGAGGCGCGAAAGCUGAGGGAGCAACGGG